AAUGUAUAGUAAUUAAUCGCAUAUUUAAAUUAGAUGAAUAGUCAAUUAAAUAAUUAUAAUUCUCUGCUUUCUAUUAUUUUAUUUUACUACAGAAAACUUAAGUAAUAAAUAAAAUAAUAUUUAUGUGCUCUCACAGUUCUUAACCUAGUAAUUUACUAAAUUACCCCAACUCCAAAAAAAACACAAUUCUCGUAUAACUACUAAAUCACGCAUACAAUUAAAUAAAUUACUUAAAUAAUAGGGGCAUUACAGUUUUCCCCCACUUAAAAGAAUUUUUGUGUUCGAAAAUUACUCAUCGUCAUGCCGGAGGCCGUUUCUGGCGGCAGAGGCACCUCCAUAACCACGAUUAAACACAUCAUCUAAACCAUUUUUCUCUUCUGAAUCCAAAAAUCUCCAUAACGAAAACUAAUUCUUCCUUAAACACUCAAAUCAAAACAAACAAUGCAAGAACCCUAGGAGCUAAAGCAUGAAAUUAAAUCACGAAUUCUCGGAAUCAAAGCCCCCGGGGUUAUGCCUUUGAUUCCCCUAACCUUAUACUACAUAUCGGUAACUUCUACAUGGAGAAACAAUGAAGAAGAAGAAGAUGAAGACUUACCGAAGAAGACGCAGAGCACCGGAAUUAGGUGGAUUAUGUUGAUUGUUACUUGAUCAAAGGCCAUGUGGAAUAUGAUUGUUAUGCUUGGAAUGGAUUUGUGAUUGUGUAUGGAAUUCAAACUGUGUAUUUAAAUGGUUUUAAUUUUGAAGUUGACAUUGUUUGAAGUUGGAAUGUAGGGUUAUGUAUGGUUAUGGAAUUUUGAAUAUAUGGCUUAUGUAUGCAAUUUGAAUUAAUGGUUGAAUGCAAAGGAUUGAAAAUUAUUUAUGGGA